ACAUCUCAUGCCAAGAACAUGAGCGAGGAGCGUCCCAAGCUUUAUCCCAUCACCAGCCAAACCUCCUCUAGUAGAAAGCAAACCAAUGCGCCACUCUCCAGCACUCCUCUUCCUCUCACCUCAGCAUCAGGAAGGCAGCAUGAAAGCAGGAACAUCUUUGCAGAAGGAGAGGGAGGAUUCUUUUUUUUUCCUGCCCCCUUAUACAGGCUGAUAUGGUUAUGAAGGGCUCAGCCCUUCUUCCCGCUCCAGCUUAAGACAAUGAUUCAACCACGCAGAUGAGUCCCUAAUUUGGAGGUGACCUCAGGUAUUUGAGCCCACGGCGAUGCUAUCGUACAUCUUUAGUCUUUUUUGUCUCUUAAGCAAACCUGGCACAGCCACAACUCAUCCAAUGCACGUGCAGAAAUGUAGCUACCUCCAGCACCUCUGGGGCUGCACUGUGUGCUGGGGCUCAGGGCUCAGGUACUGAAAUGGUGGCAGUGCCUACAGAAGACGUUCUUCUUUUCAGGUGUGUUAUAAUUGCUAUGAGAUAUCUGCAUUACUGGACCGCCUUUCUCACCCAGAAGGCCCCGGACCAUAAAUCAGCACAACACAAGCCAGCACGUAGUGUCAGCCACCUAAAUUAACCUCUGGAUUUCAAUGGGAUUAUUCUCAGGCUGGGGUUUGAGCAUAUCUUGCUGGACAGAAGUCUUCAUUCACAGCAGAAAGCAGUUAAAACCAUUUGGUGGUACAGAGCUACCUUUUGAACGUUCAUAGUGUUCGUUAGUGUUUAAGACAGAAAUGGUAAUAUCUUAACUAUCUAUAAAUUACCCAGGUAAAUAGAUGAUAAAUCAUUAUAUACACGUACAUACCAAG
ensembl:lncRNA